rnacentral:rRNA from 1 species
GACGAACGCUGGCGGCGUGCUUAACACAUGCAAGUCGAACGGAAAGGCCCUGCUUUUGUGGGGUGCUCGAGUGGCGAACGGGUGAGUAACACGUGAGUAACCUGCCCUUGACUUUGGGAUAACUUCAGGAAACUGGGGCUAAUACCGGAUAGGAGCUCCUGCUGCAUGGUGGGGGUUGGAAAGUUUCGGCGGUUGGGGAAGGACUCGCGGCUUAUCAGCUUGUUGGUGGGGUAGUGGCUUACCAAGGCUUUGACGGGUAGCCGGCCUGAGAGGGUGACCGGCCACAUUGGGACUGAGAUACGGCCCAGACUCCUACGGGAGGCAGCAGUGGGGAAUAUUGCACAAUGGACGGAAGCCUGAUGCAGCAACGCCGCGUGCGGGAUGACGGCCUUCGGGUUGUAAACCGCUUUCGCCUGUGACGAAGCGUGAGUGACGGUAAUGGGUAAAGAAGCACCGGCUAACUACGUG